rnacentral:tRNA from 1 species
CUAGAUAGACAGGCCUUUAUCCUGUAAACAAUUAAUUAACAGCUAAUCACCCAAUCCAGCGGGCUUCUAUCUAUCCUUCUCCCGUUCAAAAAAACGGGAGA